CAGCAGCCGCGGGAAUACGGAAGGUCCAGGCGUUAUCCGGGUUUAUUGGGUUUAAAGGGAGUGUAGGCGGUCUGUUAAGCGUGUUGUGAAAUUUAGGUGCUCAACAUCUAACUUGCAGCGCGAACUGGCGGACUUGAGUGCACGCAACGUAUGCGGAAUUCAUGGUGUAGCGGUGAAAUGCUUAGAUAUCAUGACGAACUCCGAUUGCGAAGGCAGCGUACGGGAGUGUUACUGACGCUUAAGCUCGAAGGUGCGGGUAUCGAACAGGAUUAGAUACCCGCGUAGUCCCUGUCUCUUAUAC
rnacentral:rRNA from 1 species